rnacentral:tRNA from 1 species
UCCGUAGUUUGUACUUUGGAGCGCCAAUCUAACGAAUUGGUAGUCGUGGGUUCGAUCCCCACCGGA